UUAUUUACAUCCGUUGUUGUUCCUGGUCUCGCUGUCUUGUCUUGUCCGGUGUCAAAUAUGGUCUGCUGUCUGUACGGGAGUGAUGCGGGGUGUGCAGUAUAUGGGUGUGAUGUGUAUGACGUGGUGUAUGUAGUAUAUGCGUUGUCAGAGAGUGUGGAUCUGCUUCUGCCUGAGUGAGUGCGUUUGUCUAACUAGUUGUCGCGCAUGCGUGGAUUAUGUGGAGCAUGCGCUGUGCGAGUCGAGUUCGGGUGUGAGGGAGUGGUGUGAUUCGUCCACGAUGUUGUUGUCUUGGUUCUAGUCACAUGUAUCGUACGUACUGGUCGCUCAUUGGUCGUUUCGAUGUGUUCGCCGUUUCUCUGUUUAUUACUGUUGGUUGUUUAUUAUUUCGUUGUCUUUUUCCCCCGCUCGCUUCGCCAUCAGUUCUGGUUUUGAUAAAGUAUUCUUGGAGCCGACAAAUGAGUCAACGAACCGUUGUGUGGUGUGAAGGUAAAGGGGUGGGGAGAAAUUCCGUAACAGUGGCGCCCGACGUGGACUCGAGUUCCACAACUUACUACGAGCGACCUACCAAAGGGACGGAACUACUCCUCUCGGGUCCCGCUCGACCGUGCACCGGAGUAUACGGCCCUGCCUCCUUCCAACGAGCCCGAUCCAACCGCCACCGUAACGACGGCUGGGGUUUGCCCGGUCAGCACGGCCAUGUAUUGCUCCGGGCUCGAGCAUUCCGGGACCCAGCCAGCAUGAUCUACAGCAUCACCGGACAGGAAGGGACCAGAUACCGAGAAGACUACAACUACAAGCAAACACCGAACCACCGGACCACCAUGACACCUCUCAUUGAGGUCAUGGUCGAGGACGACCUACACAUUUUAUAAACCCUAAUUCAUAAUUCACAAUAGUAAUCCCUAUUCUUUGUAAGGAGUCGUGGUCGACUCCUCCCGUUAGGGGAGGCUGUGUUACGAAAUUCGAUUCGCUUAUUAUUUACAUCCGUUGUUGUUCCUGGUCUCGCUGUCUUGUCUUGUCCGGUGUCAAAUAUGGUCUGCUGUCUGUACGGGAGUGAUGCGGGGUGUGCAGUAUAUGGGUGUGAUGUGUAUGACGUGGUGUAUGUAGUAUAUGCGUUGUCAGAGAGUGUGGAUCUGCUUCUGCCUGAGUGAGUGCGUUUGUCUAACUAGUUGUCGCGCAUGCGUGGAUUAUGUGGAGCAUGCGCUGUGCGAGUCGAGUUCGGGUGUGAGGGAGUGGUGUGAUUCGUCCACGAUGUUGUUGUCUUGGUUCUAGUCACAUGUAUCGUACGUACUGGUCGCUCAUUGGUCGUUUCGAUGUGUUCGCCGUUUCUCUGUUUAUUACUGUUGGUUGUUUAUUAUUUCGUUGUCUUUUUCCCCCGCUCGCUUCGCCAUCAGUUCUGGUUUUGAUAAAGUAUUCUUGGAGCCGACAAAUGAGUCAACGAACCGUUGUGUGGUGUGAAGGUAAAGGGGUGGGGAGAAAUUCCGUAACACUAGGACCCAUACACCAGAGAUAUCCCCUCGGAAUCUGCGCCGGCAUCAUCACUGCAGUUUGCGGAUGACAUCGCCCUGACAUGUGCAAGACGGACAGCGCAAGAGGUGUCUGAUGCGCUCAGCUUGGCGGUUACCUCCCUCUCAAGUUGGCUGGACACUCGUGGUCUUGUAUUAAAUGCAAAGAAGAGUAAUGUAUUGGUUUUUACCAGCAGCAGUGGGCAGCAGCCGGACGUGGGUGUACGCUGUCGAAAUGAUGUGCUUCCGCACACCACCAGCGCGAAAUACCUCGGCGUCUUAAUCGAUGAACGAAUGACCUGGCAACCGCAAGUUGACCGGUGCAUCUCACGCACUGCUAGGAAGAUCGGUAGUCUGUGGCGGGCGCGACGCUGCCUCACUCUAGCUAGUCGAAGCAAGUACUUCCUAUCUGUCAUCAUGCCGGAUUUGAUAUAUGGAUCUUCAGCAUAUGGCUCCGGCUUGACCCACAACCAGCUAAACCGCUUGCAGGUGGCCCAAAACCGCGCAGCAAGGGCGGUGUUCGGACGACCACGAUUUACCAGGGCCAGUGAUCUCUUGGAGAGGCUCUCUGUUUAUCGCAUGGACGAGGUAUAUCGCCAGAAACUGCUCGUGCUGGUAUGGCGGUGCGUUCAUAACCGUGCCAGUCCUGCUCUGCAGGCACUGUUUGUUCGCAACUGCGGAGCAACUCGCCUUCAGCACAGUCUGGGCCUACAACAACCAAUAGCCAGAAGCCGAGCAGGCCAAUGUAGACCGGCAUCUCGCGGUUGCCUGUUAUGGAACCAUAUACCUGACACGGUGCGAGCUAUGGGCAAAAUCCCAGCAUUCCGCCAAGCUGCCAUUCCCUACACGUAAGUCGUUGUAGACUGCUACACAGUUGGCCAUACCAUGGUAUUCAGUACCCACGAACUUUGCAAAGCCGAUAAUGUGAUAAUGUACCGUGGUGCAUGCACCGGUGGUGCCACCACUUCGUAGACUGCCUCCCGUUCAUUUCUGUGCUCCUGUCUUUAUUCUCGUCAGCUGUGUACUUCAGCAGUUCAAUUCUGUGCUCCAGUCCUCUUUAUUCUCGUGAGUUGUGUACUCGUUUUGCUGUUUGUCUGGUUUAUUUGAAUUCGCACAGUAAAUGUGUACUUCAGUUAUUCUCUCCUCCCUCUUCUGAGUUUGACUCUCCGCUGGCCUUCUCUCCUCCCAUCCCCUUACAUCGUAUUGGGCCUCCGCACACACUACAUUGUCACAUAGCACAACUCAACCAUUCGCUACCCUGUUAUUGAGCACUCCUGCUCGUUUGGUCUCGCAAAUCCAAAUAAAAUCAAUCAAUCAAUCAGGUUCCUACCUGUGGAUGCAGCUGGGGACGCUGGUCCGCAGGCCAUGGUCGUUGAUGAACUCCCAUGUUGGAUAUCCGAUGGAAGUAACUAUGUGUACUAGCAAAGUUACACUGCCACUGAUA